GGGGCUGUAGCUUAAUGGUAGAGUGCGCUGUUAUCCAAAUGCUUACCUUCCAGCGCGAUUUGAGGUUCGACUCCCAACGGUCCCA